rnacentral:misc_RNA from 1 species
AAGUCGUAACAAGGUUUCCGUAGGUGAACCUGCGGAAGGAUCAUCAAAAAAUUUUUUUGAUUUAUUUGACGGCACGCAAUGUGUGUAUAUGCAUAUAUGCGGAUGAUAUUUUUUGUGUAUGUAUAUUUGUAUAUGUAUAUUUGUAUAUGUACAAGUAUAUGUAUAUGAAUAUAUGUAUAUGUAUAUAUAUAUAUAUUACUUUAUAUAUACGUCAAAAAAAUAUCAUCAUAUACAUACAUAUAAUUUGACAUAUUUCCCUCAAAAAACGAGGGAAAAAAAAAAACCUUUAUUUAUAUAUUCUUAGUCUGAUGUUAUCAAAAAGUAGAGAGAAUCACAACUUUUAGCAAUGGAUCUCUCGGCUCUU